UACGUAGGAGGCAAGCGUUGUCCGGAUUUAUUGGGCGUAAAGAGCGUGUAGGCGGUUUGGUAGGUCCGUUGUGAAAACUCGAGGCUCAACCUCGAGACGCCGAUGGAAACCAUCAGACUAGAGUCCGGAAGAGGAGAGUGGAAUUCCUGGUGUAGCGGUGAAAUGCGCAGAUAUCAGGAAGAACACCCGUGGCUAAGGCGGCUCUCUAGUACGGUACUGACGCUGAGACGCGAAAGCGUGGGGAGCGAACAGG
rnacentral:rRNA from 1 species